rnacentral:rRNA from 1 species
AAUGAACGCUGGCGGCAUGCCUAACACAUGCAAGUCGAACGAAGGCUUCGGCCUUAGUGGCGCACGGGUGCGUAACGCGUGGGAAUCUGCCCUUGGGUUCGGAAUAACAGUUAGAAAUGACUGCUAAUACCGUAUGAUGUCGUAAGACCAAAGAUUUAUCGCCCAAGGAUGAGCCCGCGUAGGAUUAGCUAGUUGGUGAGGUAAAGGCUCACCAAGGCGACGAUCCUUAGCUGGUCUGAGAGGAUGAUCAGCCACACUGGGACUGAGACACGGCCCAGACUCCUACGGGAGGCAGCAGUGGGGAAUAUUGGACAAUGGGCGAAAGCCUGAUCCAGCAAUGCCGCGUGAGUGAUGAAGGCCUUAGGGUUGUAAAGCUCUUUUACCCGGGAUGAUAAUGACAGUACCGGGAGAAUAAGCUCCGGCUAACCUCGUGCCAGCCGCCGCCGUAACAC